rnacentral:rRNA from 1 species
CCGUACCUACCCUUGACAUGUCACUAACGAAGUAGAGAUACAUUAGGUGCUCGUAAGAGAAAGUGAACACAGGUGCUGCAUGGCUGUCGUCAGCUCGUGUCGUGAGAUGUUGGGUUAAGUCCCGCAACGAGCGCAACCCUUGUCUUUAGUUGCUACGCAAGAGCACUCUAAAGAGACUGCCGGUGACAAACCGGAGGAAGGUGGGGAUGACGUCAAGUCCUCAUGGCCCUUAUGGGUAGGGCUUCACACGUUAUACAAUGGUGCAUACUGAGGGUUGCCAACCCGCGAGGGGGAGCUAAUCUCAGAAAAUGCAUCGUAGUCCGGAUCGUAGUCUGCAACUCGACUACGUGAAGCUGGAAUCGCUAGUAAUCGCGGAUCAGAAUGUCGCGGUGAAUACGUUCCCGGUCUUGUACACACCGCCCGUCAUACCAUGGGAGUGGGUUUUGCCAGA